GGAUGUAGUUCAGUGGUAGAGCACUUGCCUAGUAUACAUGAGGCCCUGUGUUCAAUGCCCAGUUAUACA
rnacentral:tRNA from 1 species